UACGUAGGGUGCAAGCGUUAAUCGGAAUUACUGGGCGUAAAGCGUGCGCAGGCGGUUAUGUAAGACAGUUGUGAAAUCCCCGGGCUCAACCUGGGAACUGCAUCUGUGACUGCAUAGCUAGAGUACGGUAGAGGGGGAUGGAAUUCCGCGUGUAGCAGUGAAAUGCGUAGAUAUGCGGAGGAACACCGAUGGCGAAGGCAAUCCCCUGGACCUGUACUGACGCUCAUGCACGAAAGCGUGGGGAGCAAACGAGGAUUACGAA
rnacentral:rRNA from 1 species